UACGGGGGGAGCAAGCGUUGUUCGGAUUUACUGGGCGUAAAGGGCGCGUAGGCGGUCGUGACAAGUCACUUGUGAAAUCUCCGGGCUUAACUCGGAAAGGUCAAGUGAUACUGUCGGACUAGAGUACAGAAGGGGCAACUGGAAUUCUCGGUGUAGCGGUGAAAUGCGUAGAUAUCGAGAGGAACACCUGCGGCGAAGGCGGGUUGCUGGGCUGAUACUGACGCUGAGGCGCGAAAGCCAGGGGAGCAAACGGG
rnacentral:rRNA from 1 species